CCUCAGUGAGUUAACAGACAAAGAAAAUUAGAAACCUAGAAUGUGACGGCAGAUAAAAACACUCACUCACAGCACCCCUCUUACACAAACACACUGCACACCUCACACAUACAAUACGUCCACACACACACACACUACAACACCCCUCACACUGCACCACUACACACAUUACGCUCCAGAUACACGCUAGAUCCCUUACCCAUGCACUCUUAAUCUUCUACACACACACACACUCUUCUAUACACACUCUGGGUCCUUUACACACUAGAUCUCUUACACACACACACACACACACACUG